UUAUGGCUCAGGAUUAACGCUGGCGGCGUGCCUAACACAUGCAAGUCGAACGGAAUAUCCUCGGAUAUUUAGUGGCGAACGGGUGAGUAAUGUACAGGUAAUGUACCUUCGUACUGCGAAUAACAAGCUGAAAAGUUUGCUAAUACGGAAUAGUUUCAUUAGGGGGCAUCCUUUGAUGAAUAAAGAUUUAUCGUGCGAAGAUCAGCCUGUAUCCUAUUAGUUAGUUGGUGGGGUAAUGGCCUACCAAGACGACGAUGGGUAGCCGAUUUGAGAGGAUGAUCGGCCACAUUGGAACUGAAACACGGUCCAAACUCCUACGGGAGGCAGCAGUGGGGAAUAUUGCGCAAUGGGCGAAAGCCUGACGCAGCGACGCCGCGUGAGGGAUGAAAGGUCUUCGGAUCGUAAACCUCUGUCGGAAGGGAAAAAGGUGCAGGGUGCCAAUCAGCCCUGCAUUGAUGGUACCUUCAGAGGAAGCACCGGCUAACUCCGUGCCAGCCGCCGC
rnacentral:rRNA from 1 species